rnacentral:rRNA from 1 species
UACGAAGGGGGCGAGCGUUGUUCGGAUUUACUGGGCGUAAAGGGCGCGCAGGCGGUCUUGAAAGUCAGGCGUGAAAGCCCCGGGCUUAACCUGGGAAUUGCGCUUGAUACUCUGAGACUGGAGUACGGGAGAGGAGAGUGGAAUUCCCAGUGUAGAGGUGAAACUCGUAGAUAUUGGGAAGAACACCGGUGGCGAAGGCGGCUCACUGGCCCGUUUCUGACGCUCAGGCGCGACAGCGUGGGGAUCAAACAGG